UUGGGAAUAUUGGACAAUGGAGGGAACUCUGAUCCAGUGACGCCGCGUGAAGGAAGAAGGUCUUCGGAUUGUAAACUUAUUUUAUCAGGGAAGAAAAAAAUGACAGUACCUGAAGAAGAAGGACCGGCUAACUACGUGCCAGCAGCCGCGGUAAUACGUAGGGUCCGAGCGUUAUCCGGAUUUACUGGGUGUAAAGGGCGAGUAGACGGAACUGCAAGUCAGAUGUGAAAUGCUAGAGCUCAACUUUAGAACUGCAUCUGAAACUGUGGAACUAGAGUGCAGGAGAGGUAAGCGGAAUUCCUAGUGUAGCGGUGAAAUGCGUAGAUAUUAGGAGGAACACCAGUGGCGAAGGCGGCUUACUGGACUGUAACUGACGUUGAGGCGCGAAAGUGUGGGGAGCAAACA
rnacentral:rRNA from 1 species